AAUCGGGCUACACGGCGCUGGCGGCGGGGUCAGGCGCGGCGUCCCGCACAAUGGGCGCGGCGCCCGAGCUCCUGACAGCGCCAUAAAUUGGCCGUGCAAAGCCGAGCGCUAGGUGGUCCCCCCUGGAGAAAAGAGCCGCCGCCGAGGGCGCGAAAAGGCGAGUCCGGGAGCCCGCCAGGGAGCGAGUGGCGCGUUUUCCAGAUCACCUUGUUGGAACUUAGCGUAGCAGAGGUCAGACGAGAGGGACAAUAGCAGGGUCCCGGGGUGAAUUCCAGGAGGGAAGCUGAGCCCGGCUCCCAGGUCGAGCUGAAUGAAUGAGGAAGAACACUGUGGAGUAAGGAGAAAGCAGAUAUGAGUAGCCUCUCCAGGAAGCAAUGUGACUGAAUACUCUAUACAAAACCACAAAAUUAGAUAAAUACGUAUUUAAGUGUUAUUCCUGAAAGCUGGAGAAAAAAAUCUUACUUCUAAGCGAAGGAAUAAGAAAAUGUGAUGCUUGGAAGAAAGAACGCACUGCCGAGAGGCCUUGUUGCUGAGUGUGCUGAACAAUAGACAACCUCUAAGGAUGCCCGCCUGCAAUUCCAGCUCUGCCAUCAAUUCACUGUAUGCCUUUGGGUAAGUCACUUAACCUUUCUGGGUCUCAGUUUCCCCAUGGGCAAAAUGGUGGUUAUUAUAAUAGCCCUCUUACCAGUAUUUUGCAAAGAACAAUGAUUACAAAUGAAUGCAAAUCAUCUUGUGUGUGUUAAGAAUGACAUACAAGUGCUAAGAAAUAGCAUAAGCUUGUAGUUCACAAUACAUUUUUCCAGAAACAACAGGCACAUGUUGCAAGCAUAGAAUGAUAACAAGAAUUAAGGACCACCAAGCCAAUUACAACCAAGGGAAUCCUUUAGAAAGAAUUCUUGAGACACUGGACCAAAAUGGCCAAGUGGGAAAGGAGAAUUAACUCUCAUUUUUUAAUUUAAAUUAUUAUCAGGAGUAAUGUUGGUGUAACAAACGAUAACAUAUACUUAGUUUGAGUUAGUCUAAAUUUCUUCUAGAAAUAUUGAUUGAGCAUUACAUGUUUUCUAUGUGGAAAGCAAAUACACAACUUAGAGAAGGUAUUUCAUGUAAAAAAAAAAUAGGAUGUCUUGUUUAGGAUUCAUAGUGCAUAUCUCGUUCUGUAAUACAGGAAGAUUUCACAGGUAGCUUUUUAAGAGAAUGAAAGAACAUGUAAUGAUUAGCUAAAAAUGUUCAGUAAUGCUUUACUUUUGUUUGGACUUAAGUGGAGCAGUCUUUAUUUGUACUGUAUUUUUUAUUAAAAUUGAAUAUUUGACAUGCAAUAACCUAUGCUUUUGCAUUCACAUUUACUUCUGAAGAAUCAAAAUUUUCAGUUUUAAAAACAAGUUAUAUCUAAAAGCACACUCAAAGUCAUAUGCAGUCAUAUAUUCUUUUUAAUUAAAUCUCAAAGAUGAAAAAAUGACAAAUGAAGAGCAUAUAAUACUGACGAUAGCAAAAGUUUCAUAGUCUACACACAGACAGAAUUAUUACAAAUCAAUAAGACAAACAAGUCAGUAGGAAAAGACAGUUGGAAUGAACAAGCAAUUAGAAAAAAUAAUAAAUACAAUGUCUAACUGGCAUAUGAAACAGUAUUUAAUCUAAAUAAUAAACUAACAUUAAUAUUCUGUGCUAUACAUCAGGUAGUAGAUGAAUACAUUGAUACUUUCUGAAGAAACAACCAGAAGUAACUAUCAUUCACUAUAAAAAGUGCUGUGCCUUUAUCCGGUCGACUUUAUUUCUUGGAAUCUGUGGUUAAAAAAAAAAUCAUCAUCACUAUUAUUACUGUACCCUAAGAUUUAACUAUAGGGAUAAAUAUUACAGUAUCAUUAAAUUAAGUAAACGGGAACAAUUCUAAGUGUGUGACACUGGAGUAGUUGGCUAAAUACAGUAGGAUAUGUGUAUACCAUGCAAUGUUAUAAAGCUGAUAGAAAAGAUGCUGUGAUGGAGAGGAAUGCAUGACAAAUAGAAGGAUAUUUAAAACAUGUUAGAUGCAAAAACAAGUGAGAAACAACAGACAGUGCAUGGUCCCAUUUUGAAGAAAGAAAGAAAUAUCAGGCAGGAUAGGGUAGCGUAUGCUGUAAUAUAACAAAAACACAAAAAUGUUAGAGACUUAUAGCAACCAAGGUUUAGUGCUCAUCAUACUCCAGGUCCUCUUGGCAGCAGGGAGCCCUGCUCCACAUCCCCUCACUGUGUGAUCCAAGAAUACAACAGUCACCACCUCAAACAUGGCCGCACUGCAGCAGAGUCAAACAGCGCACCCGAACUGGCCUCCCCAGCCUAGUAGCCACUUGGCGCAUGUUUCUAUUGAGUACUUGAAAUGGGGCUUGGGUGAAUUGAGAUGGAUAUAAGUGCUAAAUAUAUACCUGAUUGCAAAGACUUUGUCCGAAUUAAAACAGUAAUUAUAAAAGGAUAUAAAAUACC